AUCUGUCGUGUUCAGGCUGACUCAUUCCAGGAUUAUGUGGGCUUCUUAUUCAUUGUGCUACUAUAGGAAAGUACUUUCUGCAUAGGUUUGGAGUAUGAAACUGAAAAUAUUCUGAUUGUAAACUGUCUAAGACAAUAGAAAGUAUGCUGUAAAGGUGCUGUCUGUGCUACAUUAAUUCCACAACUGCAGAGGCCACAGUGUGUGUUUCUGCUGCCAUGAACGUGCUUUGGUAACUGCCAGAAUUGAGGUUCUCACCAUGGACAAGUCUGCUGCCUGCCUUCUUUUCACAUGUAUGUUUUAGCUGGUUGGCAGUCAGCCUUUUGCUGCAUUGCUGCAAGAUGAAGAGCUUUUCCUUGUACAAUGGCUGUGGCUGCUUUCCCCUGAGGGCAGAAAUGCUCUCCCCGCAGAGCAGGUUUCUCUCCCGCAGCUCCCAGCCAUCAUCUUCAGGCUCUGCAGGAAUUCUGGAGCAGCCAUCUGCACUGCUGAUUUUUGCCAGAAGAUCUGGGUUCACUUUUCACGUCCUGCAACAAUUUGUGCCCUUGACAACCUGCACUGUGGCCUCCAGGGUUCCCUCAUUGCCGGCUGAGAAAUCUGAAAAUGUACAUUGCAUUAUUUUGCCCCGUUUCUUUGGAGAAAGUUGAGGCUCCCAAGCAGAAUCAGACAGAACUCUGAAGCGUCUCUGCUGUUCAGGCAGUGGUGAAGUGUGGUGCAGUUUGGGUCACCAGGUCCUCCAUCCAUGGGCAAGCUGUGACCCCAGAAACCUGCUGCUUUGUUUGGUGUCUGUGAGGAGAAUGCUGCUUCUUCUGGGAAGAGUUGCUUUGGGAAUGACCAGGCCAGGGGGGCUGGAUGUGUGUGUUGCACCAGACCAGAAUAAGGAAAUGUUUUUUUACAACAAGCAGGUAUGUGUACCAUGAGCAUAACGCCAGAAGUACAUAACAGCUCUUUGUGAGAUUUUACCUCACGGUUUGGAGCUCUGUGCACCUUCAUUCUGCAGGAGCUGUGUAUUUAGGACUCCAAACGGUGCAAUAAAGCCCGGCUGUAAUCAAUCAGAUCCUCCUGCUUUGGUUCUCGCUCACUGUUCCCCAGGAGGAGCUGUUAUGCUGCAGGAGCUGAGAAUUAAUUUGAGAGGAUGGCUGCAGCCUCAGAGCAUGUCUGGGUGUUGUGCACAUGACCGUACCAAAUGAAAAGCAUUUCCUCCAAGGUCCAGUCUGCCGAUGCUAUGAAUGUUGUAAGGGAUGGUAAAUAGGAAUUAAUUAGCAAUGCUGGUAAGAGCUCGUUCUGUGGCUGUGAGCAGGACGGCAGAGCUGCAGCUGCUGGGGCUGUGUUGGAAGGGUCAUGUCGCUCUGCCAGGUUGCAGUGUGUGUGGUUGGCCCAAUGAGCUCCCCCACCUCCCCAGUCACUGUGGCUGAGCUGUGCUGACACAGACCACGAACCAUUCUCACUACACUGUUUUGGACAGAGGUGGCCCUGUGAGACAUGGUCACGCUCUGUUUGGAAUGGAAAUGGGAGCUCCCAGCUGUCUGCUGUCUAACAGCUGAUGAGGAGCAGAGAAAGGGUGACAGCCUCCAUGCAGCCAUGCUGCCACAGACAGUAUUACCUGCUGGGGGUUUUGUAAUGAAUUGUAUAGGGCUUUCUCUUCUCCUCAGGAGGUGGCCAUGUAACGUAACUG
ensembl:lncRNA